rnacentral:pre_miRNA from 1 species
AAAAAGACAAACCCUGGUUUUCGUGCCUAACAUUUGACCGUUCGUCUUAUUUGAAAAAAUUAUGAAAAAAAUUAAAAAGACAAGUCACGCAUAAAAUAUUAAUCAUGUUUUAUCAUCUAACAACAAUGAAAAUACGAAUUAUAAAAAAAUUUCAUAUAAGACGGACAGUUAAAGUUGGACACGGAAACCCAGGGUUUGUUUUUUU